rnacentral:ncRNA from 1 species
AUAAAUGUGUUGAUUGAGAAAAGUAAAUUUCAUAGCACUUAGUAAGAGACUUAUCAUUUGGUGGGAGAUAAGAUUUGUGAAGAAAUUGAAAAUCACUCAUGAGUAACUUUAGCUGAAGAUAUAAUUAUUGUGUAAGCAUAGUCGGUAGCAACCGUUAUAUUGCAAAAUAUUGAAUAGGAUUUUUCUUGAGAUAUUUUGAGAGGUUACUUUUUAAGUAACAAGUAGAGUGGUACCGCAGAGUUUUUAGACUUUGUCUCUAAU